rnacentral:antisense_RNA from 1 species
CAAGAGACGCCAGGCCGGUGGGGCUGGAGUUGUCAUGGAAGGGGCAGGGCACAGGGCGGAACCAUUGCUCGCGGAGCUGGCGUCGAGUCGGAACCUCGGACUGUAGGAAGUGGGAGCACCGCGGUUUCGGGGAAGAGACCGGGUUGAGCGUCUAGCGCAGCUCAGCGUGACUUCCGCCAGCGUUUAGAGCGUUUUCGGGGUCCGAGUUGAAGAGCAAAACCAAGUGAAGGAAACUUCACUAAGUUCAGGUGACAAGGGAAGAAGUACAGAGUGAACUAUUGGCAUGGCUCAAUCCAUUGACCUGUUUUGGUUCCUGAUGAAGUUUUGUUAAUUUAAAUGAGAAAAAUAAGGACAGUGAAAAACAGAGCGCUUAAAAAGCACUGUCUGGAUAUCUUCAGAGGGAAAAAGGAGAAAGUUAAUUGAAUUGGUGACACUUCGGGUCUCUCACAGAGGAAGAUUAGAUGAAGGUGACCUUCCCCUUCACCAAGCAGAAUCUCCCAUGAGACUCAUGAAUCCUCUUGAGGCCAAUUACAGCUAUCACUUGUUAACUAUUGGAGUACCUUCAGUCUUAAAAGAGCUGCUAGAAAAUUAAGGCUGCAACAUGAAAGAAGAACAAAAUGGUCAGGCAUAUCACAUAUUUUUAUCAAAUGAUUUGGUUUAGGACUUUAUAACCUGGUUAGUACUUGAGCACUGAAAGAUAUUUUGAAUUUAAAGUAAGAUGGAGAAAGUGAUGGAAGCUAAAUCACAGAGGA